rnacentral:rRNA from 1 species
AGAACGAACGCUGGCGGCAUGCCUAACACAUGCAAGUCGAACGCUUUUGGGGCUUCGGUCCCAAAGGAGUGGCGCACGGGUGAGUAGCGCGUGGGAACCUGCCCUGUUGUGGGGGAUAACCGAGGGAAACUUCGGCUAAUACCGCAUACGCCCGGGGGAAACUCCGGGGAAAGAUUUAUCGCAGCAGGAGGGGCCCGCGUCGGAUUAGGUAGUUGGUGGGGUAACGGCCCACCAAGCCUGUGAUCCGUAGCUGGUCUGAGAGGAUGAUCAGCCACACUGGGACUGAGACACGGCCCAGACUCCUACGGGAGGCAGCAGUGGGGAAUAUUGGACAAUGGGCGCAAGCCUGAUCCAGCAAUGCCGCGUGAGUGAUGAAGGCCUUCGGGUUGUAAAGCUCUUUCGCACGCGACGAUGAUGACGGUAGCGUGAGGAGAACGCCCGGCUAACUUCGUGCCAGCAGCCGC